rnacentral:rRNA from 1 species
UACAGAGGUCUCAAGCGUUGUUCGGAUUCAUUGGGCGUAAAGGGUGCGUAGGUGGCGCGGUAAGUCGGGUGUGAAAUCUCGGAGCUUAACUCCGAAAUUGCAUUCGAUACUGCCGUGCUUGAGGACUGGAGAGGAGACUGGAAUUCAUGGUGUAGCGGUGAAAUGCGCAGAUAUCAGGAGGAACACCGGUGGCGAAGGCGGGUCUCUGGGCCGAUACUGACGCUGAGGAGCGAAAGCGUGGGGAGCGAACAGG